GAUGAACGCUGGCGGCGUGCUUAACACAUGCAAGUCGAACGAUGAAGCCCAGCUUGCUGGGUGGAUUAGUGGCGAACGGGUGAGUAACACGUGAGUAACCUGCCCUUGACUCUGGGAUAAGCGCUGGAAACGGCGUCUAAUACCGGAUACGAGCUUCCACCGCAUGGUGAGUUGCUGGAAAGAAUUUCGGUCACGGAUGGACUCGCGGCCUAUCAGGUAGUUGGUGAGGUAACGGCUCACCAAGCCGACGACGGGUAGCCGGCCUGAGAGGGUGACCGGCCACACUGGGACUGAGACACGGCCCAGACUCCUACGGGAGGCAGCAGUGGGGAAUAUUGCACAAUGGGCGCAAGCCUGAUGCAGCAACGCCGCGUGAGGGACGAAGGCCUUCGGGUCGUAAACCUCUUUUAGCAGGGAAGAAGCGAAAGUGACGGUACCUGCAGAAAAAGCACCGGCUAACUACGUG
rnacentral:rRNA from 1 species